rnacentral:tRNA from 1 species
UCAUUGAGAAGCUAAGCAGCAUUAACCUUUUAAGUUAAAGAUUGAGAGCGUAACCUCUCCUCAAUGAC